rnacentral:rRNA from 1 species
AUGUUUCCAUGGCUUGUGCUUCAAGAUAUAAUAUGGACAACUGACAGACUGCAACGCCAGGGUUGGCCAUAUUGGGGUGGUUGUCAACUUUGCAAAGUCCAUGGAGAGUCGGCCGCACACAUGCUCUUCACUUGCCGGUACUCCAUGCGCAUUUGGAGGAUGAUUCCGUCCUGGCUUGUUCGUGAAAGCCAAAAGGAACGCCCUUGGAGCGUUUUUACGUUGGCCAAAGAGUGGUGGGCCUCCUUGUGCCUUCCUGGAGGCAGACGACGCCGGGCUAUGUCCUCCCUUCUCCUGCUCAUGGUAUGGGAAAUUUGGAACGAGCGCAGUACUCGUGUCCUCCAUGCGGUCUCCUCCAUGCCUUAUGCUGUUUUUGCUGAAAUCAAACAGGAGGCUUCCCUCUCAGGUUUUGGCCGGUGCUAA